AUCCAAAGGAAAGAUUUAAGAAUUGAAGUGAGAAAAAAAGAGUCAUCAUCAUAAUCCUCUCAUAAUACACACAAACAAACAAACAAUUUGAAAGAGAAAAAGAAGAGUAGAGAGAAAGACGCUUUUUUUUUUUUUUUUUUUUAGAAAUUUUUUGGAAUUUUUGUUUGGAGAUCAUGAUAAUGUGGUAAUAGGUUUGUUAGAAUGGGAAAAAUGAGGGUAGUAAGAAUUCAGAAGUAGUCUCUUCUGCUUUCUUUUGUUUGUUGUAUAGAUCUAAGCUUCAUUUUUAUCAAUGAGAAAAUAAUUCCUUUUCUCAUCUACCAUUUUGCUUCCUUGUUAUAUUUCCUCAUUUCUACGAUCGUUGUUUUAUUUUAUUUCAAAUUUCUCUCUCUGAGUGAAUAGCAAUGCGGUAAUCCUUUGUACCUACCAGGCCAUACUUCCAGUGAAAAUGCACUCUUAAGAUGCUUGUGAUAAAAAUCAUAUUUUAAUAAAACGAACAAUUUAAAAUGGUCAAAUUUUUUGUCAAUUAAGAUUGGCUCAACUUGGCCUCAUAAUGC
rnacentral:misc_RNA from 1 species